rnacentral:rRNA from 1 species
UACGAACCGAGCGAACGUUGUUCGGAAUCACUGGGCUUAAAGGGCGCGUAGGCGGGUUCGCAAGUCUGUGGUGAAAUCCUCCGGCUCAACCGGAGAACUGCCUCGGAUACUGCGGGUCUCGAGGGUGAUAGGGGUAUGCGGAACUAUCGGUGGAGCGGUGAAAUGCGUUGAUAUCGAGAGGAACUCCGGUGGCGAAGGCGGCAUACUGGAUCACUUCUGACGCUGAGGCGCGAAAGCCAGGGGAGCAAACGGG